AUUGAACGCUGGCGGCAUGCUUUACACAUGCAAGUCGAACGGCAGCGCGGGGCAACCUGGCGGCGAGUGGCGAACGGGUGAGUAAUAUAUCGGAACGUACCCAGAAGUGGGGGAUAACGUAGCGCAAGUUACGCUAAUACCCCAUACGAUCUACGGAUGAAAGUAGGGGACCGCAAGGCCUUAUGCUUUUGGUGCGGCCGAUAUCUGAUUAGCUAGUUGGUGAGGUAAAGGCUCACCAAGGCGACGAUCAGUAGCUGGUCUGAGAGGACGACCAGCCACACUGGAACUGAGACACGGUCCAGACUCCUACGGGAGGCAGCAGUGGGGAAUUUUGGACAAUGGGCGCAAGCCUGAUCCAGCAAUGCCGCGUGAGUGAAGAAGGCCUUCGGGUUGUAAAGCUCUUUUGUCAGGGAAGAAACGGUAGAGGCUAAUAUCCUUUGCUAAUGACGGUACCUGAAGAAUAAGCACCGGCUAACUACGUG
rnacentral:rRNA from 1 species